rnacentral:rRNA from 1 species
UAUUGGACAAUGGGGGGAACCCUGAUCCAGCAAUGCCGCGUGUGUGAAGAAGGCCUUCGGGUUGUAAAGCACUUUAAGUUGGGAGGAAAAGCGCCUGGUUAAUAGCGAGCGGUGUUGAGGUUACCAACAGAUUAAGCACCGGCUAACUCGGUGCCAGCAGCCGCGGUAAUACGGAGGGUGCAAGCGUUAAUCGGAAUUACUGGGCGUAAAGCGCGCGUAGGCGGUUAUUUAAGUCAGAUGUGAAAUCCCCGGGCUUAACCUGGGAAUUGCAUUUGAGACUGGAUGGCUAGAGUGUGGUAGAGGUGAGUGGAACUUCAGGUGUAGCGGUGAAAUGCGUAGAUAUCUGAAGGAACAUCAGUGGCGAAGGCGACCACCUGGGCUAAUACUGACACUGAGGUGCGAAAGCGUGGGGAGCAAACA